AGUCAUAUGCUUGUCUCAAAGAUUAAGCCAUGCAUGUCUCAGUACAAACCAAAAUAAGGUGAAACCGCGAAAGGCUCAUUAAAUCAGUUAUGGUUCCUUAGAUCGUACACACAUUUACUUGGAUAACUGUGGUAAUUCUAGAGCUAAUACAUGCCUACAGGGCUCCGACCGGAGACGGAAGGAGUGCCUUUAUUAGAUCAAAACCAAUCGGUGGCGCGGCCUCGGUCGUGUCAUCGUACAACAUGGUGAAUCUGAAUAACGUUUGCUGAUCGCACGGUCUCGCACCGGCGACGCAUCUUUCAAAUGUCUGCCUUAUCAACUGUCGAUGGUAGGUUCUGCGCCUACCAUGGUUGUAACGGGUAACGGGGAAUCAGGGUUCGAUUCCGGAGAGGGAGCCUGAGAAACGGCUACCACAUCCAAGGAAGGCAGCAGGCGCGCAAAUUACCCACUCCCAGCACGGGGAGGUAGUGACGAAAAAUAACGAUACGGGACUCAUCCGAGGCCCCGUAAUCGGAAUGAGCACACUUUAAAUCCUUUCACGAGGAUCAAUCGGAGGGCAAGUCAGGUGCCAGCAGCCGCGGUAAUUCCUGCUCCGAUAGCGUAU
rnacentral:rRNA from 1 species